GAUGAACGCUGGCGGCGUGCUUAACACAUGCAAGUCGAACGGAAAGGCCUCUGCUUGCAGGGGUACUCGAGUGGCGAACGGGUGAGUAACACGUGGGUGAUCUGCCCUGCACUUCGGGAUAAGUCUGGGAAACUGGGUCUAAUACCGGAUAGGACAAUGGUUUGGAUGCUGUUGUGGAAAGUUUUUCGGUGUGGGAUGAGCUCGCGGCCUAUCAGCUUGUUGGUGGGGUAAUGGCCUACCAAGGCGUCGACGGGUAGCCGGCCUGAGAGGGUGUACGGCCACAUUGGGACUGAGAUACGGCCCAGACUCCUACGGGAGGCAGCAGUGGGGAAUAUUGCACAAUGGGCGCAAGCCUGAUGCAGCGACGCCGCGUGGGGGAUGACGGCCUUCGGGUUGUAAACUCCUUUCGCUAGGGACGAAGCGUUUUUGUGACGGUACCUGGAGAAGAAGCACCGGCUAACUACGUG
rnacentral:rRNA from 1 species